GUGGAACUCUCUCAUCCAUAUUUUGCCACCUCGACUAGCCUAAGUCAAGCACUCACAGCAUGGCGUACUGCAAGAUAUGCUUGCUAAACAAUGCAAUGAGGGUCGUGAAUCUUGUGGUGAACUUUUGCGGCCUGGCCAUCAUCAUCUACUCACUCUGCCUGCUCAAGGCAUGGAAGCAAGCAGUUGCUGAAUUUGAUGCCGCUGCAUCUACGCUGCCAGCACCAUGCUUCCUCGCAGGUUUAUUCACACGUUGCUGGGUGUCGGUAUCGUUGUUUGCUUCAGUGCCAUCGUCGGCCAUGCUGUAUCCAACUCACUCGAGCCAAUUUACCUUUCCCUCGUAUCCUUUAUUCCUCUUUGUCUCUUAAUUUUGGCUACUCCCAUAGAUUUAUACUCUCUUUAACAGUUAACGAUAUGUUUAUGAUAUGAAACUACGUGGGUAACAUCUACUUGACCAUGCAUCUUUAGUAUAUAGUCUUCAUUUUCUUCAUCCUUUUCUGUGAGAUUGUGGUGAUUGUGGCUAUUCUUUUUGAGAUAGACUGGCCAAGGGUAAGGUUCAUGAGUCUCGAAUAUAUGUGUGUGUGUCCUGACUUUGGAUUGAGUUUAAUUUUUCACUAGUCAAUUGCUUCAAAACAGGUGAUCGCUGAACAUUUUGAGGGGAACAUCAAAUUUGUGGACACCUUCUCGUUCCAUGCAUAUAUUUGCCGCCUGUUAGGAGUCAUUGUUCUUCUAGCACAGGUAAAUGUGUUGGUGCUGGCAGUAGUUUUAAGGACGAUGGGACCUCGCGCAAGGAAUCAUUGCCAAAGAGCAGUUAUGCAUGAAUUCGGAUACUCAUUUCUUGUAACGAAUGGAUCCGAAUCACCAGCAACUCUUUCUACAAUUGUGUAGAAGCAUAGUCCUCUUGAGAUGGUCUAGUGGUUAGUACUUAAAGUGUUAUCAUGUUUGGGAUUUGAAUCUCGGCAUAGUCGAGAUAAAUGUCUCUCUUAAGUGCUAGUCACUAUUCCAAAAACUAA